rnacentral:rRNA from 1 species
GACGAAGCCGUGCGAACGUUAUUCGGAAUCACUGGGCUUAAAGCGCGUGUAGGCGGGUACGGCACGUCGGACCCGCUGAAAUCCCCCGGCUUAACCGGGGAACGGGCGCCGAUACGACCGGCCUGGAGGGACGUAGGGGGGGCCGGAACUUCCGGUGGAGCGGUGAAAUCGUUGAGAUCGGAAGGAACGCCCGUGGCGAAAGCGGGCCCCUGGACGUCGUACUGACGCUGAGACGCGGAAAGCCAGGG